UACAGAGGUCCCGAGCGUUGUUCGGAUUCACUGGGCGUAAAGGGUGCGUAGGUGGUAAGGUAAGUCGGAUGUGAAAUCUCCGGGCUCAACCCGGAAACUGCAUUGGAAACUACCUUGCUUGAGGAUUUGAGGGGGGAUUGGAAUACUUGGUGUAGCAGUGAAAUGCGUAGAUAUCAAGUGGAACACCAGUGGCGAAGGCGAAUCCCUGGAAAAUACCUGACACUGAGGCACGAAAGCUAGGGGAGCAAACAGG
rnacentral:rRNA from 1 species